UUAAAUACAAAGAAAAGAAAGAGUAAAUGUUAUAAACAAUUGUAGAGAAUUCUUGGUUGGUGAAAAAGAAUAUUGCGUUAAUAUUGAAUACAUCUUGGAGUAGACGGUUGAAUAAAGUAGGCUGGUUCGGAUACACCCGUUAUCGUGUUAGAGUAUGUUGGUACUCGAAGAGGUUGCUAUUGUGAGAUAGUAACAAAUUAAGGUGGUAACGCGAUGAUCUCUCUCGUCCUUAUG
rnacentral:ncRNA from 1 species